rnacentral:misc_RNA from 1 species
UCGCGUCGCCCCCCUCGCUCCGCUCCCAGAAAAGGGCAGCGCCUGCGUCGGGGGACGGAUAAUGGCCUCCCGUGCGCCUAGAGCUCGCGGCCGGCCUAAAUGCGAGUCCACGUCGACGGACGUCGCGGCAAGUGGUGGUUGAAACUCAACUCUCGUGGUGCCGCGGCUACGUCCCGUCGCGCGCGUGGUCUCCGGGACCCUUCCGGCGCUUAGGCGCUCCGACCG